UACGUAGGGUCCGAGCGUUGUCCGGAAUUACUGGGCGUAAAGAGCUCGUAGGCGGCUUGUCACGUCGGGGUGUGAAAGCCCGGGGCUUAACCCCGGGUCUGCAUUCGAUACGGGCUGGCUAGAGUGUGGUAGGGGAGAUCGGAAUUCCUGGUGUAGCGGUGAAAUGCGCAGAUAUCAGGAGGAACACCAAUGGCGAAGGCAGCUCGCUGGGACGGUACUGACGCUGAGACGCGAAAGCGUGGGGAGCAAACAGG
rnacentral:rRNA from 1 species